AUACGUAGGGGGCGAGCGUUGUCCGGAAUGAUUGGGCGUAAAGGGCGCGUAGGCGGCCCGGUAAGUCUGGAGUGAAAGUCCUGUUUUUAAGAUGGGAAUUGCUUUGGAUACUGUCGGGCUUGAGUGCAGGAGAGGUAAGUGGAAUUCCCAGUGUAGCGGUGAAAUGCGUAGAGAUUGGGAGGAACACCAGUGGCGAAGGCGACUUACUGGACUGUAACUGACGCUGAGGCGCGAAAGUGUGGAGAGCAAACAGGAUUAGAUACCCUGGUAGUCCACACUGUAAACGAUGAAUGCUAGGUGUAGGGGGUAUCGACCCCUUCUGUGCCGCAGUCAACACAAUAAGCAUUCCGCCUGGGGAGUACGGCCGCAAGGUUGAAACUCAAAUGAAUUGACGGGG
rnacentral:rRNA from 1 species